rnacentral:lncRNA from 1 species
AGAGAGGGGAAGAAGAGAAUGAUAGGCACCUGGCAAAUCCCAAGGAUCAGACUUGCAAAGGGAAGGAGAAGACCUUCCGCUUUAAGUAUUGCACAACCAAUUCCUCGUCAGUUGGGUGGAAACGGAACCCCGGGGGUAAUCUGAGCUCCCCAUUCUUCACAAAAUUAAGUUUUUCCAUUCCACCACACCACACAACAACCUACUUCUCCUUCUCUGUAUAUGUUUUGAAUAUAGCAGUAUGGUACUAACAGUUUUGUGUGUCCGACUAGAGCAGAGCAGGCCAGUUGGGUGGGUGACAAUUGAAGCACUCGUGGGGGUUCUUAUAACUCCAUUAAAGCGUAGAGGAAAAUAAAGAAAGGGGCUGAAGAAGGGGAAAGGAAAGAAGAAAAAGGAGGGAAAAGGGUGUUAUUAUUAUUGGAUAAAGAAAGCGAAAGGGUAUGGAGUAAGAUGCAGUGUGGCUUCUUUUAUAGAAAUGGGUCUGACAGGAAGGAAGGAGAAGAAUAAGACGACACAUUUGGCGUAAACCAGACUCAACCUUUCUUUUACUUUGACGUUAUAUUAACUAUGGUUUAAGGUUUUUUUUUUAUAUUAUUAUUAUUAUGGUUUGUUUGUGAGAGAAGUUGUUACUCCAGACCAGAGUGGGUGGUGCUAAUAAGAAAACAAAGGCUAGUUCCCUGUGUUGUGGUUGCAAUUUGGAGUUAGAUUGGAGGAGGAUUCCGUUGGGUUUAUCCAAACAAAGCACUUAUCUGUCCCUUCCUUGGAUAAAACAAAACAAGUUCUCCAUUUUUUGUUUCUAACAAACAACUAAAUUUUGAUUUGGUUGGUUUUAAUGUUAUCCUAAAGUGAGGAAGUUUAGAAAGGAAGGUAAAUGAAAAAAAAAGAGGUGUCUGAAGUGAGGUUAUGUGAUGGGGUACAGCUGGAAGUGACCCAAGGGAAGGGAAUGCAAAGAGGCUUUAUCAGUGGCAUGGCACUGAGUUGGUGAAAGUACAGAACUAACCCUCUCUUUCUAUUUCUGUUCUAUCUCUCAACGGGGAACAAAAGAAUAUGAAUGAAUAGAGGAUCUUGUUUUUUAGAACACCUCAGCAAGAGAACCCACUCUUCAUUUGUACGGUUUUCGUAGUAAGUAACUUCUUCACACUUUAGACGCAUCCCAUUCUGUCGGUGUUUCCUUUAAUUCACUAAUAUUAUUCUUAUCUCAUUUUAAUAACUUUCACAAAACUCUUUACUCAAACUAAAUUCAUUUCUUCUAAGAUUAUUUACUAUUUAUUACUUUUAGCUUUGAUUUGGAAUUAAAAAAACAAUUAUCUUUACCUCUUAGAAUAAUUUCACAAUUUUUCUUUUACUCUUCUUUCUCUCGUCCUUGUAAAUACUAAGUUCGGAUUGUAUCUGUAGAAGGCACUCUGACAUAAUGUUCAGUGCAAUUAAUGCGUAAUGAUGACGUAUCUUAUUUUUAAAAUGUGUGAUUAUUUAUAUGAUUAUCAUGAAUGAUUUCUUAUUGGAUCAAUUAAGAUUUUGAAUCAUAAUUAAAUAUGCAUUACAUAAUUUAAUCACCGUUUGAUCUUGUUAAUCUUCUGUAAGACUUAAUUAAUCUGAUUACGUGAAUCGAUUUUGACUGAGUUCCACUUGUCAUUUGGAGCCGUUACAAUCCGUAAGGUUGUCAUUAUUAAAUGCAAUUUAGGUCCACGCUUGUUCAAGAUUUUUUUAGAUCGCAAAUAGUGAAUUAUGUUUCUGGGACAGUUUUGAAAAUUGAAUUGAUUGUAUUUAUGAAUUUCUUGUGAUACCACAUUCAUUUGAGGAGACGUGAACGUAAACAUACACUUGCGAAAUCAUUUUCAAAUCAAUUAAAAUAUUCUGUUAGCUUUUCAAUAACUUAAGGGUCUAAAUCACGCUGAAAUGGACUAACCAUACAAAUUGGCAUAUAUUCUUAUUAAAGGUACAUGCAUAAAAACUAUGGCCAUAUAAAACCAAUGAGAAAAUCUAUUCUAUCCCAGACAGACAUCAUCCUAUGUAUUGCAGUCUUAAUUCUCAUAAUAUAUUUCUGUGUGGGCCUAAUUUCUUUUUAUUUUCCCACCAAAUAAUGGAAACGUCCACGUUACUUGGGAGUGUAGAACAACUGUUUUUAAUUUAAGUACUAGUCAAACACUCCAUAACUAAGUUCAUUUUAUUUAUUUAUUUACUAUACUCUGUCGGGAAAAUUACAAGUUGAUUAAUUCCUUUAUUUCACAAACUAUUGUUUAUCAGGGAGUCUGAUGGUAGAGAAUUUAUUAAUUAAAUUUUUUUAUUUGGGUAGUAUAUUGAUAGAGUUCGCACUAUAAAAAGAUUCAUCAUCUUGUUUAGGUCGAUCGACAUAAUCAAUAACAAAAUUGAUUGAUAAUUCAAUAUUAGUUAAUUUGUCUUUAUUAGGUCUAUUAAUGACAAAUGGUCCACAAUAAUAAUAUAAAUAAGCAUAGAUUAAAAAAAAAAAAAAAUAAGAGAAGUGAUGUAAUAGUUUUUUUAUUCUCACCCGUUCAAGAAUAGAUAUGUCAAUAAAAAUAAUGUAUGAUUGUGUUGAUAUUCUCAUAGAUUGAGGCAUAUUACUUCUAGUUUUGUUUUAUUUAUUAGUAAUCAUCUGACUAAUUACUUUUAAUCAUACACAUUUUAAAAAAAUAUUGAUUAAAAAUAUAACUUGAGAGGUUGAAACAUAAAGUGUUAUUUUUGUUAGAUCACCCUAACGUUGACAUGAAACAUCCAUCUAUUUUACCAGUGUCUAAUAAUAAUUUAUGCAUAGUUACAAUUGACAAAAAUGUUUUUUAAUUAGAUUUAUUUCACAAAUUCAACGUUUUAACGAAUUUUUAUUUGUAACAAGACUCCGGCUUUAAUUUCCUUUUAUUUCAACAAAAAGAUAUUCUAAAAAAACUAGGUAUCAUUUCAUAUCAAAGGUAAGAGUACAAAUAUGAUAAAAUAUGUUUUUUUAAUCAUUCUAAAACAUCUAAAGUUUAGUUAUAUUUUAAAAACAUUGUUGUUUUUAUUCCUCCUACUUUUGAUUCUUUAAACGUUGUCUAAAUAAUAUAUUGUCUUUUAUAAAACGUUAUUUAAAUUUGAAGGAUAAAAUUAUGCUUUUCAAAAUUAAAGUGACUGAAAAUAAGACAAAAGGAGUUAGAAGGGCUAAUAUAUCGAAUUUAGUUGUUCUUUUUAAGAAGAAACCAAUAAAGAUACUUUACUCCUUUUUAUUUAAAAACUAAUUUGUUGACUAUUCAGGUAACAUAUGGACCUGCAGUAUAAGAUUUUUUUUUUAUUGUUGUUAUAAAAGCAACUUAUAGUUGACCGGUUAGUUUUAAAAGACAAUGAAAUAUGAAGAAUAUUAAAAAAUUAUACUAAAAUCUAAAUUUUUGGCAUAUUAAAAUUAAAAGUUAUGGUAAUGAUUUUUGCAUACUCAUCAAAGGAAAAAACAUAAAUUUAUUUUGAAUGUGUGUUUUGUUUGUGAAGUCUCUUUUAGAGUAUGGGAUUACCAUUGAUGUCAAUUGUUUAAAAUAUUACUUUGUCUCUUUCAAGAGAGACAAUUCUUUUAUGUGUCAAUCGAACAAAUCAUGUAAUAAUAAAGAGAGAUGAUAAGUAAAAAAAAAAAAAACACUCCAUUUUAGAGUUCAAUUUAAACAACUAAAAACUGUACACGUUGCUCUCUAUUUGUUCCACAGUACGUUAAAAAAGGAAUUGUGUUAAAUGUUUAAUUAAUAAUAUCGCAGGUGACAUCUGCACACCUUCAAUAAUUGAAUUUUGACUAGUUUUCUCAGUAUUUUUGGAUUUCUUAUUUGUCUUAAAAAAAGGCAAAGUAAGUUGUGAUUGUGUUAUAAUGAAACGCAUAAUAAGUGUAGAGAAGUAUGAAAAAAGAUAAGGUGUUUGUUUAGUGAUUAGUAGUAUUGGAAUGAAUUAUUUUGAAAAGUAGUUUGAUAGAGAGAGAUGUAUAAUAAAAAAAUGAUAAUGAGAUGAGAAGAAAGGUGGGUGAAAGAAUAAAGGUAAGGGUCCCAGUUGGUUCGAAAACCAGGGGCAACCACGUAGGAUUAAGGGUAGAUGACAAAUAUGGUACCUUCAAGUGAUGCCCCAUUUCAAGAUUUCCACGAUCUUCUUGUCUCACUGUUUCCAUCUAAUCAUGCAAUACAAUGCAGUGUAUUUCCAAACAGGAUUCUAAUUAAAACAACCAUUUUCAGUUCUUCUAUUUACAUCUCACUCCUUCUAUUCGGACAAAAUUUGUUAUUUUUGUUUUUCCACUUUUUUUUCUCAUUCAAAUAUGUUCAGUUUUUUGUUCUUUCUCCGACUUAGUUUUGGGUGUGACAUUCUCUGACUAAGUGGCCUUUAAAGUGAUGUUUUAUACAACUAAAUCGUUAUCGGUACAUAAAAUAAUUGAGAGAUGAGCAAUAAUUUUAUGAGUUGCAUGAUUAUAACACCGUCCUAGUUUAAUCUGCAAAUUGCUUAAAGUUUUUAUUUAAUUUUGUAAAAGGUACAAAUUGGAUGGGUUGUGGCAGUGGUGCAGGACAGUGUUGUAUGCAUGAGGUGAAGAAAUGUAAGCAAUAGGGAAACGUAGCUGUCAUGCUUUCUAUAUAGCUCAGAACUAGACGUGUUAAAACACUCAUGGUUUCUGCACAGAAUGCUAUAAAACAAACUACACUUAAUUACCAUCAUCAUCAUCUGAAACUACAACCAAUUUCAUUCUAAUAAACUCUUAAGCAUAUUCAUGAUAGGCUCUGUAUUUGCCAUUCAAAAAAUGCUUCCAAUUUCUGCAUUUCUUAUUCAAUAUAUAUACAUAUAUUGUAGUUGGUUAUUAAGAUCACAGAUAACCCUCCUCUCUCUAUCCGACAAGAAUGACCAUUCAUUUUGCAACCUCUUCUUUUCCUAAACAAAAGGAACAAACUAGUGCAAAGGUUGUGUUCUUAUUUUAUGUUUCUUCUCCUGAAAACGGUCUUUAAAAUAUACAUGUAUUUUGGACCUCUUUUCUUAUGCUCUUUCCAUGGAUUCUUUCUCUUUUGCUCUGUCAAAGCAUCUCCUUCAAGACUCAAAAUUAGUAGCUUUUAGCUAGCUAAAAGAAGCACUGCCUUUGCAUUUGCAUGAUGAUGAAGGGCAUCAUCAGAGAUUGAACUAAAAAGAAAAACUGGAUUGCACACUAGUUUUAGUAGCAUACUCUUCAGACUUAGACUAGCCUUGGUGCCGGUUGAAAAUGAGAAGAUAAUUACAGAGAAAGACAAUAAAAGAAAGAGGCAAAGCUUAGGCUGAUAUGAGAUGAGAUGGUUGCAAAACAAGUAGUGGCACUAGAAUUCAAGUGAAGGGUGUCAAGGUUUUCUUCUAAUAUAAGGGAAGGUGUUGGAGCUACUACUCUCUUCAUGCUCAUCUGAUUCAUUGGUAACCCCACUGGCGCCAGAAUUUGAGGAAUCGCUCUUGUUCUGCGCCAUGAAGUUAUAGAAAACCAUCUUCGACUUUCUCACCAUCCCCUUAUCCACUCUGCCUCGCAAACUCUCCAUCUCCUUCUCCUCCCCGUUUCUACUACCACUUCUCCUCUUCAAAAAUAUGCGACACAGAACCCAAUUUUCCAUGGGAACUUCAACCACAGGGCUCUGCACGCGCACACACAAACAAACCAAAAACACUGUGUGAGUAAUUAAUGCAUGCGUGGGGAUAAUUUGAGGUUAAUUUGGUAGCUCUGAAUCCUCACCUGAGACAGAGAGGAAGUGGGCGCGUUAAGAAGGCGAUAUUCAUGCAUGAUCCAGUCAGUUCUAGAUCCAUGAGGUGGCUUUCCUCUGUAGAAAACAAGUGUCUUCUUCAUCCCCACAACUUGGUUCCCUUUUGAAGUUACAAUUUGUUUGUCCAACCCAGUGGCCUUCCAAUAACCUGAAUUCGUGGCUCUGUUUGAGCGGUUGCCGUUAGGAUAUUUGGGCUCUUUGGUGCUGAAAAAGUACCUUUCUUUCUCCAAAUCACCUAAACACAGCACCCAGAAGGCAUUGCAAUUAGACUCAAUUAAUUGGGAAGAAGAGAUAGAGGAAGAAGAAAAUGAUGAACACCUGGCAAAUCCCAAGGAUCAGACUUGCAAACAUCAACCUCAGGAAUGACAGAGGCUGGCAAAGGGAAGGAGAAGACCUUCCGCUUUAAGUAUUGCACAACCAAUUCCUCAUCAGUUGGGUGGAAACGGAACCCCG